GCCAAGUCUAUUGUGCAAUUUUGGCGUCAUCCACCUGAAACGCUGCUGAAACGGAGUGAGUUUGUUAUAUUAAACGCUGAGAGUGAAGGACCGACUGAAGGCCUGACUGUGAAGCAGAAUCAGGCUCAGACAGGUCUCGAUGCAUCUUAUCAGCAGUGCCAUCUGACCAAUGCAAUCCCACAACACCAGAGGGUCAGUUAAUGGUAACACCUCAGGGGAGCAGAGCAAAGGAGGACAAGAAGAAAACAAAGAGAAGAAGGCAAGCUAAAAUAGGCUUGCUCAUCGAGGAUUCCUCUUGAAGUAUCUCCCACCGAGGGUGGGCGGAGCUAGCCUGCAGUGACUUCACGUUCAUACAUGCCAACAUCAAUGGAGGACUGCUGUCUGACCCUGCGC